GACGAACGCUGGCGGCGCGCCUAACACAUGCAAGUCGAACGAGCGAGAGAGAGCUUGCUUUCUCGAGCGAGUGGCGAACGGGUGAGUAACGCGUGAGGAACCUGCCUCAAAGAGGGGGACAACAGUUGGAAACGACUGCUAAUACCGCAUAAGCCCACGACCCGGCAUCGGGUCGAGGGAAAAGGAGCAAUCCGCUUUGAGAUGGCCUCGCGUCCGAUUAGCUAGUUGGCGAGGUAACGGCCCACCAAGGCGACGAUCGGUAGCCGGACAGAGAGGUUGAACGGCCACAUUGAGACUGAGACACGGCCCAGACUCCUACGGGAGGCAGCAGUGGGGAAUAUUGCACAAUGGGGGAAACCCUGAUGCAGCGACGCCGCGUGGAGGAAGAAGGUCUUCGGAUUGUAAACUCCUGUUGUUGAGGAAGAUAAUGACGGUACUCAACAAGGAAGUGACGGCUAACUACGUG
rnacentral:rRNA from 1 species